UUCCAGUGUCUAUAAUCCGUGGUAUAUCACAUCGGCGAGCGUGUGCGUGUGUGUGCUGUUGUAGUGGCCUUUUGGUUACGCUCGGCGUAUGUGC
rnacentral:rRNA from 1 species